rnacentral:rRNA from 1 species
AUACGUAGGGGGCGAGCGUUGUCCGGAAUGAUUGGGCGUAAAGGGCGCGUAGGCGGCGCGGUAAGUCUGGAGUGAAAGUCCUGCUUUCAAGGUGGGAAUUGCUUUGGAUACUGCCGCGCUUGAGUGCAGGAGAGGUUAUCGGAAUUCCCGGUGUAGCGGUGAAAUGCGUAGAGAUCGGGAGGAACACCAGUGGCGAAGGCGGGUAACUGGACUGCAACUGACGCUGAGGCGCGAAAGUGUGGGGAGCAAACAGGAUUAGAUACCCUGGUAGUCCACACUGUAAACGAUGAAUGCUAGGUGUAAGAGGUAUCGACCCCUUUUGCGCCGGAGUCAACACAAUAAGCAUUCCGCCUGGGGAGUACGGCCGCAAGGUUGAAACUCAAAUGAAUUGGCGGGG